rnacentral:lncRNA from 1 species
CUAUCCACUCCCCGGUGCUCCAUAUAUCUCUGAAGGGUCAAAUUCUCUAUAUUCUUCGCACGAUAUCACUUUAUAAGAAUAUAAUAGUGUCAUAUAUCAUCACUUUAUAUUGAUUUAAUUGAACAAAUACAAUGAAACAGGGGCGGGCAACCAACUAAAGCUCGGUUGCUUAAAGUUGACGCCUGAUAGCAUCAGGCUGAUAAAACUGUCUAAUUGAUCAAUGUUGAAAAAGAGAGAUCAACUCCCAUCACAUAAAAAGAUAACAUUAAUUUAUUUUAACUUUAUUGAUCCUGAUAACUUAUUCUAACAUCAAAUCAUCACAUCAAAUUGCAUCUAGCAGUAAUUUUAUGGUCAUUAGAUUUUAUAAUAUUAUACUAAAUACAUGAUACAAAAAGGUGGUUAGUGUAUCCAGAAAAGCAUAUAUAACUUAUCAUUUCAACUCCAC